rnacentral:rRNA from 1 species
CUACCAUGCAAGUCGAACGAUGAACCNCNGAGCUUGCUCUAGGGGAUUAGUGGCGAACGGGUGAGUAACACGUGAGUAACCUGCCCUUGACUCUGGGAUAACCUCCGGAAACGGAAGCUAAUACCGGAUAUGACGUACGGAGGCAUCUCCUGUACGUGGAAAGAAUUUCGGUCAAGGAUGGACUCGCGGCCUAUCAGGUAGUUGGUGAGGUAACGGCCCACCAAGCCUACGACGGGUAGCCGGCCUGAGAGGGUGACCGGCCACACUGGGACUGAGACACGGCCCAGACUCCUACGGGAGGCAGCAGUGGGGAAUAUUGCACAAUGGGCGCAAGCCUGAUGCAGCAACGCCGCGUGAGGGAUGACGGCCUUCGGGUUGUAAACCUCUUUUAGUAGGGAAGAAGCGAAAGUGACGGUACCUGCAGAAAAAGCACCGGCUAACUACGUGCCAGCAGCCGCGGUAAUACGUAGGGUGCGAGCGUUGUCCGGAAUUAUUGGGCGUAAAGAGCUCGUAGGCGGUCUGUCGCGUCUGCUGUGAAAACCCGAGGCUCAACCUCGGGCCUGCAGUGGGUACGGGCAGACUAGAGUGCGGUAGGGGAGAAUGGAAUUCCUGGUGUAGCGGUGGAAUGCGCAGAUAUCAGGAGGAACACCGAUGGCGAAGGCAGUUCUCUGGGCCGUAACUGACGCUGAGGAGCGAAAGCGUGGGGGAGCGAACAGGAUUAGAUACCCUGGUAGUCCACGCCGUAAACGUUGGGCGCUAGAUGUGGGGACCAUUCCACGGUUUCCGUGUCGCAGCUAACGCAUUAAGCGCCCCGCCUGGGGAGUACGGCCGCAAGGCUAAAACUCAAAGGAAUUGACGGGGGCCCGCACAAGCGGCGGAGCAUGCGGAUUAAUUCGAUGCAACGCGAAGAACCUUACCAAGGCUUGACAUAUACGAGAACGGGCCAGAAAUGGUCAACUCUUUGGACACUCGUAAACAGGUGGUGCAUGGUUGUCGUCAGCUCGUGUCGUGAGAUGUUGGGUUAAGUCCCGCAACGAGCGCAACCCUCGUUCUAUGUUGCCAGCACGUAAUGGUGGGAACUCAUAGGAGACUGCCGGGGUCAACUCGGAGGAAGGUGGGGAUGACGUCAAAUCAUCAUGCCCCUUAUGUCUUGGGCUUCACGCAUGCUACAAUGGCCGGUACAAAGGGCUGCAAUACCGUAAGGUGGAGCGAAUCCCAAAAAGCCGGUCUCAGUUCGGAUUGAGGUCUGCAACUCGACCUCAUGAAGUCGGAGUCGCUAGUAAUCGCAGAUCAGCAACGCUGCGGUGAAUACGUUCCCGGGCCUUGUACACACCGCCCGUCAAGUCAUGAAAGUCGGUAACACCCGAAGCCG